rnacentral:rRNA from 1 species
AGGACGAACGCUGGCGGCGUGCUUAACACAUGCAAGUCGAACGGUGAAGCCCUUCGGGGUGGAUCAGUGGCGAACGGGUGAGUAACACGUGAGUAAUCUGCCCCCGACUCUGGGAUAACUUCGGGAAACCGGAGCUAAUACCGGAUAUUCACAUUCUGUCGCAUGGUGGCGUGUGGAAAGAAUUUUGGUCAGGGAUGAGCUCGCGGCCUAUCAGCUUGUUGGUGGGUAAUGGCCUACCAAGGCGACGACGGGUA